UACGGGGGGGGCAAGCGUUGUUCGGAAUUACUGGGCGUAAAGGGCUCGUAGGCGGCCAACUAAGUCAGACGUGAAAUCCCUCGGCUUAACCGGGGAACUGCGUCUGAUACUGGAUGGCUUGAAUCCGGGAGAGGGAUGCGGAAUUCCAGGUGUAGCGGUGAAAUGCGUAGAUAUCUGGAGGAAUACCGGUGGCGAAGGCGGCAUCCUGGACCGAGAUUGACACUGAUGAGCGAAAGCUAGGGGAGCAAACGGG
rnacentral:rRNA from 1 species